rnacentral:lncRNA from 1 species
ACUCUCUGAUAGGGAGAGAAUGAUACAGAAACAAUAAAGGGAAAAACUGGUUCCUUUUGCUCAAGAAAAUGAAAUCUCUGGCUUGGGUGGAAAUAGAAACAAGUUAAUCCAGGGAGGACAAUAAAUCACCGGAUUACGGAGACACCCCUCAGGAAGGCCAGACACCCCUCCUUAAGCCAGGAGGAAGAGAUAAGUGCAGUAAUUAUGGCUUUAAUGAGACAAUGAACUUUUACUUCCCAGAAUUUCCUCCCCCAUCACAGUCCUUAAGAUCCGUCUUGAUGUUCUGGUGUUCCUGUUGCUUAUCCCACAGUCCAAACGUGCCUUUGGUGGAAAAUGAAACCUGGAAGUUCAUCCAUGAAGCAAAAGCUCCAUCAGGAGUAUCAGCUGACUGCCUCAAACUCUCCAGUUGAUUUUUGCUCCACACAGUGAGCACCCCAUUUGAUGGUGUUAUCGCCAUCUGUUGCCCUGAACUCUCUCAGCUGAGAACUUCAGCUGCGAAUUUCCUCUGUUUCUGCUGGAUAUUGUGAAUACCUAAUUUAAUGAUGUUUUGCACUCUGUCUCUCCAUCUCUCUGUCUCUGUCUGUGUCUCUCUCUUUCUCUCCUUCCCUCCUUCUCUCCCUUCCCUUUUCUCUCUCCUGCAAAACUAAGGGCCAUAAAAUACAUGCGCCUUAAUUUUUUUUUUUUUUGAGACAGGGGAUCUCACUGGACCAGCGGGCUAUAGGAAUCAUCAUUCCUCCUCCUUAGUGCUGGCAUUCCAGGCAUACCCAGCUUUUCAAAUGGGUGCUAGGGAUCCAAAAUCCAGUCCUCAUGCUUGAGAAGCACCUAUUUGACCAAUUAAGUCUUGAGAUGGACUGAUUUGUACAUCAACUCUGAGUUUGAUCUCAAAUGGAAAUGGGCGAUUCCUAAGCAAAAAGGCAUAAGAAAAAUGUCUGUCCUGGCCUAUGACCAUCAUCUGGAUGUAUCUUAGACACCUCUAACUAUAGAAAACAUUAGUAACCCAGGGGCCUGGUGGCUGUCUCCGCAAUCGAUCAAAACAUGUGCACCCAGGUCACCUUGCCUGCUGAUUGAGUUGGGACAUGAUUUAAGAGACCCACUGUUAAGAGAAAUUACUUUUCUUCUGACAGUGGACUCUAAGACCAAAAUACUCAGGCCACUCUGACACCCUUCUGGGUGGUAUUCUAGGAUGCUCCAAGCAACCCCCCUCCCUACUGUCCUUCACACACUUCCACUCCAGCUUUGCCUAACAUUGUCUAUAUUUUCUCCCGUGGGCAUUUUCCUUAAUAUAAUCCUUGUUCCUUUUCGGAUAGACCAAGCUUAAUCCACACCCCUCUCUAGAUCUUGCUUCAGUUUGCUAGUCCAGGGGUGCAUUUUUCUCCUGUGCUGUUUUGCACUUUGCCAAGGACCAGCCUCUGCUUGGAGAAGGGUUCUGAGAGAUGGGGGUGUUUGAGAGCAGAGAAACAAAUGAUUCAAAGUCAACUCAUGGUGGCCUAUGCUCUGCUCAAGCCAGCUUUCCAGACGGCUUUCUCUCUGUUCUGCUUUGCCUGGAGAUCUCCAGAUAGCUCUUUCUCUGUUUUCUCAUCGAGACAGUUUUCCAAGUAGUUCUCUCUUGUUCUAAAACACUCUCUGGAUAGCUCAUCUAGUGGAGAGCAUAAGCCCACUCUUUUAUUUUACAUAUUAAUUCAGUCAUUUACUGCAGGUUCCCUUUUGAUUAUUCUACAAAUCAGCACUCAAAGACCUCAGUGUCUCAAUUCUUAUUAGACAGCAAGCACACUUUUUUCUUUAACCUUGCAAAAGAAUUCAGAGAUCUGUCUGCCUUUGUUAAGCACAGAGGAUAAGCUAGCUGGGUGCAGCCUCGCCCUGAAACUACCAUUUCUACCAUGCCUGGCCCUGGACCUAAAUUCUCAGGCUGACUUUGAACUCAGGAAUCUGUCUUUGUAAAUAUAAACAAACAAACAAACAAACAAACAAAAAAACUUAGCUGGGUGGGAUCUCCUGAGCUCACCACUCCCUAAAUCUCUUCAUCUCCUUCCUUAGUAUCUUUCUGACAAGUUGGUUCUCAGUGCAGCUGCUUUUGUUCCUUUACAUUCCUAAAGCCCCUCAUAUAAUUCAUAUUACAUCCUUAUAUUUUGCAUAGUUGAGAAAUUGUAUACUUUUGGGUUCAUUAAUUUGGAAUUCUUUCCCACAGCCUUAAGGGCUGUCCUGAAGGUCUCAUUGUUCACCAUUGUGCUGAGACAGUAGCCACACCUUCGCCUUCCAGACUCAUGCUGUCUCUGAUUACCAUGGAGACACUAACAUUAAUGGGGAGGAUGACAUUCCAUAAAAGAAUGAGGAAAUACAUACAUUAUUAUACAAACAAGCCUUAUGCCCAAAGCAGCCUCGUGGAGACCUGUACCCUGAUGCCCCUGUUCCAGGUGCUGGACCCAUAUCAUUCCAACCCUUACCAAAGCUAUGCUGGACCCAGCAGUAUUUCACGCCAGCUUUAUUGGAACAGUAAGUUUCUUUCAUCCAGAUUCUCUGUUCUGAUUAUUAACAAACCUUGGUCUUUUUCCUCAAUCAUUUCUGUUUGUGGUAUACCCUGCCUGUGAUGAUUGUUGUGCUGGCUAAUUUUAUGUCAAUUUGAUACAAACUAGAGUCAUUAGAUAGGAGGAAACAUCAAUUGAAAAGAUGCCUCCCUAAGACAGAUAUGUAGGCAAGCCUAUAGGACACUUUCUUAAUUGGUGAUCCAUGAGGGAGAUUGCAGCUUAAUGGGGGUGGUGCCAUUCCUAAUCGGAUGAUCCUAGGUUCUAUAAGAAAGCAGGUUGAGCAAGCCAUGAGGAGCAAGCCAGUAACCAGCAAAACUCCAUGGCCUUUGCAUCAGCUCCUACCUCCAGGUUCCAGUUCUGAAUUUCUGUCCUGACUUCCUUCAAUAAUAAACAGUUAUAAGGAGUGUAAGCCAAAUAAACCUCUUCUUAC